rnacentral:rRNA from 1 species
UACGGAGGGCGCAAGCGUUGUUCGGAAUCACUGGGCGUAAAGCGCGUGUAGGCGGCUCUGCUAGUCGGGUGUGAAAUCCCGAGGCUCAACCUCGGAACUGCACUCGAUACUGCUUGGCUCGAGUCCCGGAGAGGGUGGCGGAAUUCCCGGUGUAGGGGUGAAAUCCGUAGAUAUCGGGAGGAACACCAGUGGCGAAGGCGGCCACCUGGACGGUGACUGACGCUGAGAAGCGAAAGCGUGGGGAGCAAACAGG